AGCGAACGCUGGCGGCGUGCCUAACACAUGCAAGUCGCACGAGAAAGGGGUAGCAAUACCCCCGGUACAGUGGCGAACGGGUGAGUAACACGUGGGUAACCUACCCUCGGGUUCGGAAUAACCUGCCGAAAGGCGGGCUAAUACCGGAUGAAGACAUGAGGCCUUCGGGCCUCGUGCCCAAAGCCGACCUCUUCACGAAAGUUGGCGCCUAAGGAGGGGCCCGCGUCCCACUAGCUAGUUGGUGAGGUAACGGCNCACCAAGGCUCCGAUGGGUAGCCGGCCUGAGAGGGCGACCGGCCACAGUGGAACUGAGACACGGUCCACACUCCUACGGGAGGCAGCAGUGAGGAAUCUUGCGCAAUGGGCGAAAGCCUGACGCAGCGACGCCG
rnacentral:rRNA from 1 species